rnacentral:rRNA from 1 species
UACGGAGGGUGCAAGCGUUGUCCGGAUUUAUUGGGUUUAAAGGGUGCGUAGGCGGCCUAAUAAGUCAGUGGUGAAAGCCUCCAGCUUAACUGGAGAACUGCCAUUGAUACUGUUAGGCUUGAGUAUACUUGAGGUAGGCGGAAUUGACAGUGUAGCGGUGAAAUGCAUAGAUAUUGUCAAGAACACCAAUUGCGAAGGCAGCUUACUAAAUUAUAACUGACGCUGAGGCACGAAAGUGUGGGUAGUCAAACAGG